UACGAAGGGGGCUAGCGUUGUUCGGAAUUACUGGGCGUAAAGCGUGCGCAGGCGGCCUCUUAAGUCAGAUGUGAAAUCCCCGGGCUUAACCUGGGAACUGCGUUUGAAACUGGGAGGCUAGAGUGUGGAAGAGGGGGGUGGAAUUCCAGGUGUAGCAGUGAAAUGCGUAGAGAUCUGGAGGAACACCGAUGGCGAAGGCAGCCCCCUGGGCUGACACUGACGCUCAUGCACGAAAGCGUGGGGAGCAAACAGG
rnacentral:rRNA from 1 species